CUUCCAGCAUAGCUAAGAAUUUCCUUUAUGGUAUUGUAACACAUUUUUUUUCUGAUGGCCAACUGGAUUAUCACUAUUGCACUUCCUUUGCCUGAAAAUACAUUGUCUGAUUGAAGAAUGUCAAUAUCUGACCACAUAAUGCCAGUAGGACAAAAUUUAUAUCUAACAUUUUACUUCUCUUGGCUUCCUUUUUAAUUAAUUAGUUAAUUAAUGAAUUAAUUCUUACCUUCUGCUGUGAAGUUUUGCACAUUUUUAUUUUCAUUCUAGCAAGCUCAUAUUUGCUUGUGUCAGUAUUAAGUCCUUCUCAAAAAUAAAUGCAAUUAUAUGUAUUCUCUGAUCAAAGAGCAUCAUUACAGAUAGUGAUUUUAUCUAUAGGGCAGCCUCAUGGAACCUGAAGCUUUUAUUGCCAGGUCUAUAAGAAGCAAGAAUUAUGAGUUAUACAUUUCCCAGUAUAUCAUUUUCUUCUGCCGCUUGUUAUGGCAACCAGCUGAAACAUAAGACAGCAGUUAAACUUUGCUUAGUAAUAGAAAAAGACCAUGGUGGGAUGUCUGAAACUGUAAAUAUCAGUUAAAAAAUAAAUACUUUCAUAUAAGAAUAAGCUCCAAACUUAGACAUCCUAUUGAAUGCUUUUACUGGAAGUUGAUUCUAGCCAAGUCCAAUUUUAUUCAUGUUGUAUUAUUUAUUCCCUUUUUGACAAAUCAUAAAGUCCUGCUUUUUUUCUGGCAUAUGCCAUCCUCCUUUUUUAUGGAAAAGAAAUAAUAAAAGAUUUUCUUAUCAUUCUACCUAAAUAUUUGGAGGGAAGUUGUAUUUCCUUGUAGCAUCCUGAGCCCAGAAUUCCCUAUUACCAGUUUCUGGCAAUAGAAUUGCCAUUGGAAUACAAUGACUAUGUAGCCUGUCAAAAGAUGUCUUGAAGAACUCUCACAGAAGUGUCUCAAGAUGACUGAAAAUGCAGUUUAUUUUCAGCGAAAUAUGUGAAGAAACUAUAUUUCUGUUUAUUUACAGUGAUUUCUAUAUGAGAGGGCUUUUUUUGUAAAUAAAACUCAAAAACCUAGAAGUUUAAUGACUUGUUUUCCAGCCACCAAGACCCCAUAGUUUUGUGGAUUUUGAUUGUAAAAUACUACAAAAAAGAUACCUGUUGUUUCAGAGGAUAGUUUUAGUCAUUUUUCAAUGUUCCCUUCUUUUUCUUCUUCUUCUUAUGGAAAGUAAAUUAACAGUUUUUUGAAAAUAUGAGUGGCACUUUUUUUUUUUUAAUUUAAAGAGUGUAAUUUUUAAGGGCUAAUGAAACUUCCCUGGUAAAGGACUUGACUGCAUCUUUUAACUAUGUAUAAGCAGUAGAUAACUUGACUAAAGUAGAGAUGAUGUCAGACAAGGCAUCUGUCCCACAAAUCCAUAUGUCAAUAGAAAAUUAGAACAGUCUUUUCUUCCAUAAUAUGUGGACCAAGUAAAAGAGGUGAAGACUUUAUUUUCAAAAGAUACCAAGAGAAUAUUUUGACAGAUGUCUUUAUUUGCAGCUAGGUCUGGAAUAAUUAAUGAAUCCCAGCAAAUCACACUGAUAACGUUUCCCUUAGAAAUGCAGCAGUCACUAGUCCAGGGGAGUUUCCUCUUGUCUUUUUCGCUUUUACAUUUAUGUUGCUACAGAUUGGAUGCCAUUCUUAGCAAGGUGGUCACCUCUGUCCUUUGCAGUGAAAAUCCAAGCCAGGAUCAUCAAUGUUUUUGUAGCUAAUACCUUCAAGCAAUUCUACCCAAGACAGAAAAUUUUUCUACUGAAGAAAAUUAGAGAACAACUCAUCUUAUUGCAGAAAAUAUAGAACGGGAUCUUCCUAAGAACGCCAAACUGCUCACACACAAAGCUCUUAUGAAUGGAGGAUUCAUACUGCACUGUGGCACACUGGGCUUGGGCUAAUUUGCAUAGUCAAAAUCAGCAGCAGGUUUCUCCAGCUAGCAUUACAGUGGAGGUUCAGAAGCUGUUUUCACUUCUUUCCCUUAUGUUCCUUUUUUUUCUUCAAGUCAGCUAGUAUCUGCUAACCACAUCUGUGAAAAUCCUGCUGGAGACAAGGCAAUUCUCUGCCUGUUUUGAACUGUGAAGAGAAGAAAAAGAUUUCACAGUGACAGGCAUAUUCAACUCUUCGUUUUCUCUGGACCAGAGAAGUAUGGCUUCAGGAGACAUGACAGACAGUUCUGAGCUUCUUCCUGAGCUGAUGGUGGAUGUGGGAAUGAUCUCCUCAGGAAGACAAGCGAUGAACCUGCAUCUCCCGCUUCACCAGCAAGCACCUUAUCUCCAAGAAUGAUGUUACGCAAAGCGCUGGCAGUCGUGCUGCCACAACCUCUGGAUAUAUUUCUAGAAGUCUCUGGGCUGUUGUGCUGAGGUUGGUGCCUGUUAGGCGCACUUCGAAGAUGUUUGCCUGAUGAAGCCUCUUAAGAGGUACCUCACCAGUAUAUUGCAGGCAGGCUUGCUGCCAGUAGGUGUUGAGAUUUCAGCUGUAAAAAAACAGCAGCAGCAAUGGAAAAUGCCGCAGCAGAACUUUUAGAUAAUUUUAUCAGGAUAAUCCUUACACAGAUUUUUUGUGUCGUUUCAUAUACAUAUACAUGUGUAAAUAUAGCUUCCUAGCAUUUUUGAUGCUUUUUCGAAUUCUGCUAUCAGUGACUUUCUCCAAGUUAUUUUGUGAAGCAAGGCAUAAAGUUAUAAAGAAAUCCUGCUCUGCUGCAGUCUUUCUUAAAGACAUGUAAAUUUAUUUACAAUUAUAAGCAGUCUUAUAAUGUUGCCAUUUUUUUGGCAAUGAAGUAGCUGGCACCUAUUUGAAUUUGAGAAAAAUCUCCUCUGAUACUCACUACAUCUAUUAAACAUUUCAUCUCUAUUUCAUUGUCAUGUGUUUAUUAGUUCCCCAAGAGAUUUGCUGAUAGGGUCUGUUUCUAUCCCUAUGUUCUUCUAGCCCCCGUUCUCUUUUAUUCUGGGUUCUGUUGCCCUCAGGAGACUAAAAUCCUGCUCUCUUUGCUCCUCUCAUCAUGCUCUUCCUUCCAGAGACUACUUGUCUAAACGAAGCAACAGGAAGAGGAAGGGCAGAAUUUCUUUGCUAUCAUUUUGAAUAUAAUAUUAUGAAUGCAUGCCUCUAGUCUUCACAGAUGAAUAAAUUAUAUUUGCUUUGGGUAAUGCUAAACAAUCCCUAACAAAUUACAGUUUACUGUGUAGUAAAAAACACACAGAAGACUACAGCAGGAACAUGAUUUAUAUUCAAACAAAAUGAGCAAGUUAAUUUCUGCUCUCAAACCCCAACUCAGCAAAGUGCUUAAACACUACUUACUAAGGUGCUUAAGUACCUUCUUAAGUUCUGUGCAGCAUGAUAAGAGAAAUUUUGUCAAGUGGAGCCUUAUUUGAGAGAAAACUCUAACCCUGGGAACAUACAAAAAGAUUUUGAUCCCUGCUGUGCUCAUGUCUGUUACCUUUCCUCUGAGUUCACUGGAUUGGUAUCGACUUAUAAAAGGGUAUCCAAUCUGAAUAUUGGUUUGCUAAACAGAAAUUUCUGAAUUAACCUUACUCUCAAGAGCAAUGAAUUUCCAAGUGAUAAUGUGCUCUGUGAUGUACCAUUUUUUUCUUUGUCUGUUGUGGUAGUUGUUAAACAUUUUGAAUUUGGGCAACUAGGCCAUCAUUUGCCCUUUCUACUAGUCAUCUAAAAUGAUUAUACAACUUCAAGCCCCCUAACAUUGAUAUGAAUCUUAGCAAAAUUUCAAAUGUGUGUUCAAAACCUCCUAGAGACAUGCAAUUUGAAGAUGUCCAAGAAGCAUGAGACAUUUCACUCUCAGGAUGGGGAGGGAAACAAAAAUGCUGAAUCUCUUCCUAUCCAUCAGAGUACUUGGAUUUAAAAUGAAGUAGUACCAACAGAUGGGAGACGUUGCGUCUGUCUGAAAAAUGGAGUUUCAUGAAUCUAAGUUAGCAGAAAGCUCU